GAAAAGAGCAGGAAAAGCAAGCAGACUUGGACUAUGAUUCUCAGAGAGAGGCUACUUUUCAUCAGGAUCAAGCAUUUCGGAGAUAAAGACACUUUUUUCCAGCCAGAAAGAAUGGAAACUUCUGUAAAAGCCUUUUGAUGGCAGAAGCUGGAGCCUUAAAAGACUACAGCAGGAGUGAUGCUGAAACCUGCAGAGCUCGAUAAUGCUCCAAAUGCAUCCCUAAGUGCAAAGUUGCACAUGCUCACUGCUAUGCUAUUGGUGAGUUAAACGGGGUUUUGGUCUACCUCCACAGCAGCAAGAAACAAGGUGGAUUGCAGCCUCAUUUCCUACUCAGCUUCUGGAAAUGUCCUGUUCUGCAGAUUAUAUAUGUCUGCAUUUGAAGUCUACAGCCUACUUCCAUCGGGCUUAAUGCUCCUUUUACUUUAAACAUCUACAGAAAACCCAUCAAAUUCCAGUACCAGAAAGCAACUCUUUAUUUCAGUACACCUAGAAUAAAGUAGGAAUCCCAUGUAAAUUUAAAGCAUAUUGGCCUAAAUAUAGAUUUAUUUACCAAAAUUCAGCAUGAAAAAAGUCCAGCAGCAAUCAUGAUCUCAAUUUAUUCUAUUGACUCUGACAUACACAUGCUUUGUAUGCUUGUUUUCAAUAACUAGUUCUAGUUAGUAAUUAUCUAUAAAAUCUCUAUAAAGCAUAGUAUGAUGAUAGUAGAUCAGAAUGGCCAGAGGUAGUGGAAUGUUGCUGGUAAAAGUUGUCCUGUGUAAGGCAGGAGGCUGGUCUAGCUGCUCACCAGAGUUCUUUUCAGCUGCCAUUUAAAGAUGGUAACAAAAAUAUGGGGAGAUGAACUGCAACUGAUGAAAAGGGAAACUGUUGACCUGGAAGAAUCUACUCAUUGAGAGGUACCUCUCAUUCAAUGUCUAGGGCCAGUCUUGUGUUAGUUAUUAGCUGGAGUUACCAUUCCUGAAGGUAUUUAGAUGUGUAGAUGGUGUUCAGGGAUAUGGAUGAGCUAGUGUUGGGACUUCAGUACUGUGUUAACAGCUGGACUUGAUCUUAAAAGUCUCUUCCAAUCUAAAUGAUUCUAAUCAAGUUUUAAUUAAUAGCUAGCAAAUCAGAAAAUGCUUUGAGAAAUAAUUUGACUAGCAAACUUUAAUUAUUGGUUAUGCUCAAAAGAGCAUCCUCUCAGAUAUUGUUCUGCUUCAGGACAUUGCAGCAGAUGAGGUAAUCAUAAUAGGUAUUAGACUUACUCAAAGACCAAGACCUUUGAAAGGCAAGGCAGUCCUCAGAGGGACUGAAACAAGAGACCUAAAAUCAAACUGCAUUUUUUUCCACACCUGUGAUCCAGCUCUGGAAGUAGAACAGCAACUUCAGUUUGAACAUGUUGGCCUCCAGUGUCUAACAUGGUACUCUCCCAACAAUAUUGCAACUCAUAUCUGUGUGGUGGUACAUAUGCAAGAGGGUACUGUUUUCAUGGAUCUAAUACAACUCCUACCUAGGAAAUGCAAGAGAACAGCACUCUAAAAUGCCUUAUAUUCUAAGGGAAUUUGAAUUAAUUAACUGCGGCUCUUCACUGUUAGGUCGUGUUCCAGGAUGGAGUUACUAGAUGUGUGCAAGUUCUUUUAGCAUGACAGUCUUUGCUACCAGUUAGCUCUGAGGAAGUUUGAAGAGGAUACAUACCUGGAAACGAAUUGCCCAUAAACAGAAGAGAUGGCACCAUGGGACUAUUACCAGCACAAUAAAUAAUAAACCAGCACAGCACUUUGUUUUUCUGUGGAUUGCCUCAGCUCCAAUACAUUAUUCAGAGAAAUUAACAAUUCUUUUGGGUACUGAAGGGCUUGAACAUCAGCACUGCAGGUCCAGGACAAUGCAACACUGCAUCUCUGUUAACAUAGUAAUUGCACCUCUCCUUCCUCCCAAUGAGUACCAUCUGCUCUGACUCCUUUUCUGUGCAAAAGGAAAAUAAGCAAAGGUUAGAAAGAAAAAGCAGCAUGUACUGAAAAUAAUUUUGUGUUACUGAGCAGACAAGAAAAAUCCAACUGGCACAGUGGACAAGGGCAGAGUUUGGAACUAUCUUUGGUAAACUUAAAUACAUUUGACCACUACCGAAGUUUCUACAAAGGAGUAAGAUAGCCACUCCUUCCUUCCAAGUUCAGUGUGCCUGCAAAACCAAACAGUGCCCAACAGCAGAAGCUAACUGUGGACCAAUUUACAAGACAUGCUAUUUGCUAGAACCUGCCUAUAACUCAAGCUCAAGUGCCACAGCUUCCAACUGUACUGUAACUAGUCUGAUUUUAUUAUGGAAUAAAGCAGUAGAUUCUUUUCAGAAAGUCAAGAGGUAACAACCAAAGGUAAACUCUUAGUUCAUCUGUACUGUACUCCUUGAAUAUUGCUGUGCCUCCAGGCUUAAUUCAAACCUUUUGUUUUGACUUGAAAAAAAAAAUCUUACCGAGCAAAUAAAAUUUAGUACAUUUGUCUGUAACAAUAAAAUCUGCAUUAACCAUA